UACGAAGGGGGCUAGCGUUGCUCGGAAUCACUGGGCGUAAAGGGUGCGUAGGCGGGUUUUUAAGUCAGGGGUGAAAUCCCGAGGCUCAACCUCGGAACUGCCUUUGAUACUGGGGAUCUCGAGUCCGGGAGAGGUGAGUGGAACUGCGAGUGUAGAGGUGAAAUUCGUAGAUAUUCGCAAGAACACCAGUGGCGAAGGCGGCUCACUGGCCCGGAACUGACGCUGAGGUGCGAAAGCGUGGGGAGCAAACAGG
rnacentral:rRNA from 1 species